UCGAGCGAGUCUGCCUUGAAGAUCGGAGUGCUUGCACUCUGUGAAACAAGAUACAGGCUAGCGGCGGACGGGUGAGUAACACGUGGGUAACCUGCCCAAGAGAUCGGGAUAACACCUGGAAACAGAUGCUAAUACCGGAUAACAACAGAUGAUGCCUAUCAACUGUUUAAAAGAUGGUUCUGCUAUCACUCUUGGAUGGACCUGCGGUGCAUUAGCUAGUUGGUAGGGUAACGGCCUACCAAGGCGAUGAUGCAUAGCCGAGUUGAGAGACUGAUCGGCCACAUUGGGACUGAGACACGGCCCAAACUCCUACGGGAGGCAGCAGUAGGGAAUCUUCCACAAUGGACGCAAGUCUGAUGGAGCAACGCCGCGUGAGUGAAGAAGGGUUUCGGCUCGUAAAGCUCUGUUGUUGGUGAAGAAGGACAGGGGUAGUAACUGACCUUUGUUUGACGGUAAUCAAUUAGAAAGUCACGGCUAACUACGUGCCAGCAGCCGCGGUAAUACGUAGGUGGCAAGCGUUGUCCGGAUUUAUUGGGCGUAAAGCGAGUGCAGGCGGUUCGAUAAGUCUGAUGUGAAAGCCUUCGGCUCAACCGGAGAAUUGCAUCAGAAACUGUCGAGCUUGAGUACAGAAGAGGAGAGUGGAACUCCAUGUGUAGCGGUGAAAUGCGUAGAUAUAUGGAAGAACACCGGUGGCGAAGGCGGCUCUCUGGUCUGUUACUGACGCUGAGGCUCGAAAGCAUGGGUAGCGAACAGGAUUAGAUACCCUGGUAGUCCAUGCCGUANACGAUGAGUGCUAAGUGUUGGGAGGUUUCCGCCUCUCAGUGCUGCAGCUAACGCAUUAAGCACUCCGCCUGGG
rnacentral:rRNA from 1 species